UUUUUUGAGAGGAUUAAUAUUCAACAGCAUAGUGAAUUGCUCUAAGAGAAAACAAAAAUUUUAAGUUCUUUAGAACACAUUCAUUCUGUGUCAGAAACCUAUGCUGUGUCAACUAAUUAAUCACAAUCCAAAUUUAGAGCUGAAUCCAGCUUGAAUGGUGUGUCCAUACUUGCCCCAACCGUUCAGGGUUCAACCUCUGCGGUCGUAUAAAGCUACGCCC
rnacentral:lncRNA from 1 species